CCCCACCCUUAAUUGGAUAAACCGGAAUCCAUCGCUCGCUCGCACGUACGCACACUCUCUCCCUCCCAUGGCCAACCUGCUAGCUGGACCGUCGGGGACCUCUUUGCUGGGGCCAGCUCCCACGCAUCUUCGUCCUUUCUUAUCACCCCUCCCCUCAAAUCGCCAUUAAUUUCACUCAGGUUUCUAUCUCUAUCUCUAUAUUUAUAUCUAUCCAUAUCACUCCAGCCUUUCUCUUGAUCAAUCACACAUGCCCCCUUUGAUUACAAUUCCAAUUAAUGAACCAACUUCGAUCCAAACACAAUAUACGUUCCCAUUCCCAUAUAUAUGUAUAAACAUACAAUACAAUAAUAGUACGUGUAUUUUCCCAUUAUUGUCUUGAUUGAGGAAAACCCAUGCACCCGGCCACUGAAAAUUUUGUCUUUUUUUCGUCUUUCCUAAACGACAUUAACAAUUGUCUUUUUCAUCCAUCUGUUUGUUGAAAGUUGCCCAUUUUCGUUUGUCUCUCUUUGAUGCUUUCUCUCAAAUCUCCAUCCUAACUGUCAUUAUCUUCUUUAAAUUCUACAAGCUACUAAUAUAUCACUCUACAAUUAAUUAAUACUUAGUGCGUUGUCCGUUUUCAUUCUCGAAUGUGAAGUUAUGUUUCGUUUUCGUUAUUUUAAUAUUGGGGUUGCGUGUUUUUGAGCGGAUCCAACUUUACACAAUAUGCUAUUGUAUAUACCACAUGUUUUUAAAUGAUAAUUGAUAUUCGUAUUUAUUCUUUUCAUAUAUGUAUCACAACCGUCAGCUAUACAACUUGUACAUUGAGAGUUACGAAAUUACUUUACGUUUUAACAUGUAUCCAACUUUACACAUCAAAACAAUACGGUACCUGUUUUAAACGUAUUGAACUUUCCUAUAUAUAGUAAGUAGCAUGCUUUACAACUUUCUUUUAUACGUACCAUUGUUUCAAUUGAUUGCUAUUUUUUUGUAUGAUUUAUCAGGUAACUGGUAUAUUUUGGUAUCAAUUAAAGUUGUAACUUGGAAUAUCAGUAAGACCGGUAAUACAUCUAUCUCAAACAUUGAAAAUCGAAACUUUGAAGGAUACAAAAGCAUGCAUGUUUUGCACUAGGAUACUAUGUCUGUAUGUAAAGUUGGGUACAUUAAACAUACAUCAGCAACAAACAAGCGAUACCCAAUCUUGUGGUAGGUCGGGCAUGUGGAGGUCAAGCAUUUUCUGGUAGUGGUGCAUACCCAAGUAUCACUAGGAGUGGAGCGUGGCAAUCCAUUGAGUCUCACAUGGCUGCCGAUUUCAAGGUUCAAAAGGACGUGGAAGACAUAAUUGAUGGUUUAAGACAAAGAAAAUCGGCCUUCGAGGCCGAACUUGCAGAACGUAACACAGUGAUCAAUCCGAAUAAAAUAGACAGAAGGUAUUUGAUGUAUCUGCAGUCUAAGGUCGAAUGGAUGAACCUAACCAUUACGAAUGAUACACGGUCAUCCCAUAUUAACUGAACUACAAUUGGGUUGAAUGAUGAUAAAGAUGUCCUUUUUUAUAAAUAUUACUAUGAAAGUGUUUGAAAUGUUAUCUGAAAAUAUUUGUUGAAA